AUGAGUUCUCACUAGACUUUUAAAGUCUCUGAAGGGCCGUUGAAGACUACAACGUUGAUAGGCAGGAUGUGGAAGUGGUGUGAGCCAUUAAGCUAACCUGUACUAAUUACCCGUGAGGCUUAACCAUACAACGCCAAACGCGUUU
rnacentral:rRNA from 1 species